rnacentral:rRNA from 1 species
ACGCUCGACACCUAGGAGGCAGCAGUGGGAAAUAUUGCACAAUGGGGGAAACCCUGAUGCAGCGACGCCGCGUGAGCGAAGAAGUAUUUCGGUAUGUAAAGCUCUAUCAGCAGGGAAGAAACUGACGGUACCUGACUAAGAAGCACCGGCUAAAUACGUGCAAGCAGCCGCGGUAAUCUGAGCGGGCUGGCAAGGC